AGCGAACGCUGGCGGCAGGCCUAACACAUGCAAGUCGAACGAACUCUUCGGAGUUAGUGGCGGACGGGUGAGUAACACGUGGGAACGUGCCUUUAGGUUCGGAAUAACUCAGGGAAACUUGUGCUAAUACCGAAUGUGCCCUUCGGGGGAAAGAUUUAUCGCCUUUAGAGCGGCCCGCGUCUGAUUAGCUAGUUGGUUGGGGUAAUGGCCCACCAAGGCGACGAUCAGUAGCUGGUCUGAGAGGAUGACCAGCCACAUUGGGACUGAGACACGGCCCAAACUCCUACGGGAGGCAGCAGUGGGGAAUCUUGCGCAAUGGGCGAAAGCCUGACGCAGCCAUGCCGCGUGUAUGAUGAAGGUCUUAGGAUUGUAAAAUACUUUCACCGGUGAAGAUAAUGACUGUAGCCGGAGAAGAAGCCCCGGCUAACUUCGUGCCAGCAGCCGCGGUAA
rnacentral:rRNA from 1 species